rnacentral:lncRNA from 1 species
GUUUGCCCUUACACACGGUGCAGAAUUAGAAAAGAUUUUGUUUCUCGUGUCCUGUGGCCAAGUCCAUCCUGCUGUCAGCUUUCCAAAGGCAAAGUGGCAGCCUUUGUUUUCCGAAUAACAGCCUGAAAAGCUGCCCGUGCGUGUGUGUGUGUGUGUCUGCGUGCACGUGUGCAUCUGGCAAAGGCACCACAAAGUGGGGACUGCGGCCGGCUGAGGCUUCGAGGGCUGCGUGCGGUCCCUGUCCCAUCCCUCGCUGUGGGCUUUAAUGCCUGUGGGGCAGGGACAGCACCGACCAGCCGCCCCUGCAACCGAGCAAUCACUGGGAACAGCACCGAGGAGCUUCAUUUGAUCCUUCUGACAUCAGAGAGCAAAAGCAAACCGGAGCGUGGAAUCUGCGAGCAGCUCGUGGAGCUCUGUGGUCCUACAGGGAAAGUUCAACGGGAGGCAGCGAGGGGAAGGGGACGGACCGCGGGGGACCCUCUCCGUGAUGCAGGGAGCCUGGGGGGCACCUCUGAAGCAAAACCUGGGAAUUUGGGUCUUUGUGGGAAAAGAAAAGAAAAUAAUGUAACCUGCUGGCUGAGAGCAAAGGCUCCCGCUGCCUUCGGGCAGGAGGUCAGAGGGGAGCCACCGGCAUCCAGCCCCCAGGGCUGCACCCAAGGCCCCCAGGAAGGCUUCGGCCUCAGCCAGAGAGGAAGAGGAGGGAGGAGGCAGGCGGGGGCUGCAGCAGGAGCCACGGUGGGGGAGUCAGGGGGGCUCAGGGGGGUCACCGCCGGUGGCUGCUCCCCGCAGCGCAGGGGCCAAGGGCAGUGGAGGCACCCUCGGGCUCAGGGAAUCGGAGCUGCAAAUCCUGUGCCUUUGCGGGGAUUUGGAAACAGGCGGCCCCACGCUGCUCCCUGCAAGAGCUCCGCAAGGCGCAGAGCGGCUCAGCCUCCUGGGGACAAAGCAUCUUUGUGCAGAGGCUCGUCCUGUGCUCGCACGAAGGUGUGCAGCCAGCAGACCCCACGGGGGAGACCCCCACGGGUGAGACCCCACUCAAGCAGCACCACCAGGAGCCGGCCUGUGCAGGGCUUGGCACCCGACAGGCUCUGAUGGUGCUGAGUUAAAAC